rnacentral:rRNA from 1 species
UACGUAGGGGGCAAGCGUUGUCCGGAUUUAUUGGGCGUAAAGAGUGUGUAGGCGGCCAGGUAGGUCAGCUGUGAAAACUCGAGGCUUAACCUCGAGACGCCGGCUGAAACCCUCUGGCUAGAGUCCGGAAGAGGAGAGCGGAAUUCCUGGUGUAGCGGUGAAAUGCGCAGAUAUCAGGAAGAACACCCGUGGCGAAGGCGGCUCUCUGGGACGGUACUGACGCUGAGGCACGAAGGCCAGGGGAGCAAACGGG